CCCUUAGAUGUCCUGGGCCGCACGCGCGCUACACUGAUGCAUGCAACGAGUUUAUAACCUUGGCCUGAAAGGUCUGGGUAAUCUUUUGAACGUGCAUCGUGAUAGGGAUAGAUUAUUGCAAUUGUUAAUCUUGAACGAGGAAUUCCUAGUAAACGCGAGUCAUCAGCUCGCAUUGAUUACGUCCCUGCCCUUUGUACACACCGCCCGUCGCACCUACCGAUUGAAUGGUUCGGUGAAGAUCUCGGACUUCGAUAUUUAUUCUUUAUUGAGUUUAUAUUGUGGGAAGUUAUCUAAACCUCAUCAUUUAGAGGAAGGUGAANUCGUAACA
rnacentral:rRNA from 1 species